GAUGAACGCUGGCGGCGUGCCUAAUACAUGCCAGUCGAGCGAACGGACGAGAAGCUUGCUUUUCUGAUGUUAGCGGCGGACGGGUGAGUAACACGUGGAUAACCUACCUAUAAGACUGGGAUAAUUUCGGGAAACCGGAGCUAAUACCGGAUAAUAUUUUGAACCGCAUGGUUCAAAAGUGAAAGACGGUCUUGCUGUCACUUAUAGAUGGAUCCGCGCUGCAUUAGCUAGUUGGUAAGGUAACGGCUUACCAAGGCAACGAUGCAUAGCCGACCUGAGAGGGUGAUCGGCCACACUAGAACUGAGACACGGUCCAGACGCCUACGGGAGGCAGCAGUAGGGAAUCUUCCGCAAUGGGCGAAAGCCUGACGGAGCAACGCCGCGUGAGUGAUGAAGGUCUUCGGAUCGUAAAACUCUGUUAUUAGGGAAGAACAUAUGUGUAAGUAACUGUGCACAUCUUGACGGUACCUAAUCAGAAAGCCACGGCUAACUACGUG
rnacentral:rRNA from 1 species